CAGGUACUAUUGUCAUUCCACUUACAGCAGGACGAUAAGGCACAGUAUGGUGAAAUAACUUGCCUGGUAUCAAGGAGGAAGAGCUAGACUUUGAAACUGGGUACUGUGGCCCCCAGAGUCCUCUAUCUUAACCACUUUCGUUGCUAGAUUCUUUUAUUUUAUCUCAUGUGUCCCCCACAGAAGCCCUUUGAUUUUCUUAUUAGUCCCCAAACAUGUUAAACACUUUGUGUGUGUGUGUGUGUGUGUGAUCACUUGUUCACACUCUUUGUACAUUCCUUUCUUUCUAUUUAUCUGAGGCUGGCCUUCAAGCUUUGUUCAAUACUUUCAGUUGCCUCUGGUUGGUUAUUUAAUAAUAUCCCCUCUUCAAGACAAUCUGCCUUGAGCAUACAUUUUCUUAUAUGUAUUUCUCUUCCAGGUCUACAUGUUUUCCCACCUAGCAGAGUGUGAGAUCUUUGAGACCCAAACCCAUAGUCUUAUAUCCUGUUUUAUCUCCAGCAUCUAAUGCAGAAUCUCUCAUAGAGCUAUGGUUGCACAAAGCACUGGUUUCACAGGGAGUUGUUCUUUAGUUCUAUAAUGCCCAUUAUCUCUCUGCCAAUCUUUGAAAUUGAAUACUUUUCUCAAGCUUAUUGACAAGUGACUGGAAUUCUCUCUCUGGCUUUUUUGCAUAUUUACCCUGAUGAAGAGGCCCUGUCAAGGAACUGUGGGUAUCCUCUGGUCGGCAGCCAGAGAGAAACAGAGGACCUUGGAAUAACAGCCUUCAAGAAGCAUUAUUUUGCCAACAGCCAUGUGAGUUAUCUUGGAUGCAGAUCAUUUCCCAGUUGAGCCUUCUGAUGAGACUGCAGACCCAGUUUCCACUUGAUUGCAGCCUUACAAGAGACUGAAGCUGAGGACCUAAAUAAGUCAUACCCAGAUUUCUCCUCCAAAGAAACUGUGAGAUAAUAUGUGUGCAUAUUUUAAACUGACAAACUUCAGGGUACUGUGAUUCAUAGCAACAGAUCAGCAAAGCACACACUAAGUGUCUCAAAUGUUCAUGAUAUAAUAGCAUAAAAGUAAUAAAACAAGUGGACAAACAAAUCUAUGAUCAAUGAAUGUCAUGAAAUGUCUCAGAGACAACUGGGUAACCACAUGAAGAAGUUGUCCCAUGUACAUGUGAGGGCCAAUGAGUUAAAGGAGCCCUAGUUAGCUAGUUUGAUUUCAUGGGGGUUACUCUUGGUUGCAUAAAUUUAAUUAUUUAUUUAUUUAUUUUUUUGAGAUGGAGUCUUACUUUGUCACCCAGGCUGGAGUGCAGUGGCACAAUCUUGGCUCACUGCAACCUCUGCCUCCCGGGUUCAAGCAAUUCUCCUGCCUCAGCCAUAAGAGUAGCUGGGACUACAGGCACAUGCCACCAUGCCUGCCUAACUUUUGUAUUUUUAGUAGAGACAGGGUUUCACCAUGCUGGCCAGGCUGGUCUCGAACUCCUGACCUCAUGAUCUGCCUGCCUCAGCCUCCAAAAGUGCUGUGAUUAGAGGCAUGAGUCACCAUACCUGGCUGGUUGCAUAAAUUUAUACAGUAUAUUUUACUUCUUUGUCUGACUUCCUGCUAUUUCCCUCCCUACUGAUCGUUUUGUGGGCUGAUUUUUUUUUGUAAUUUUAAUUGAAUCAUGUUAUGCUGUAUAUGAAGUGAAACCUUUA
rnacentral:lncRNA from 1 species